rnacentral:rRNA from 1 species
AUACGGAGGGCGCAAGCGUUACUCGGAAUCACUGGGCGUAAAGCGCGCGCAGGCGGUCUUUUAAGUUGGAUGUGAAAGCCUACGGCUCAACCGUAGAACUGCAUCCAAAACUAUUAGACUCGAGUGUGGGAGAGGAAGAUGGAAUUAGUUGUGUAGGGGUAAAAUCCGUAGAGAUAACUAGGAAUACCAAAAGCGAAGGCAAUCUUCUGGAACACUACUGACGCUGAGGCGCGAAAGCGUGGGGAGCAAACAGGAUUAGAAACCCUAGUAGUCC